rnacentral:lncRNA from 1 species
AAGCUGGGGCAGUAUUCAAACUUAAGUCUCCAUCUGCAACACCUGGCAGGGCUGUUAAAAAACAGAUUGCCGGGUCCUACCACCAGUUUAGGGCAAGACAGAGAACUGGCGAUCCUAACAUGGUCCCACGUGAUGUGGAGAGAGCUGAUCCUGAGACCACGCUUUGAGGAUGACUCUGCUGAGGCCCCACUAGACCCUGGCUGGAAAUAGAGUUGUGCCACUGUGGCUGCCACCGUCUGUCACACACACGCGAGUGGAGAGUUGACAACGAAGCUACACUGCAGAGAAGGCAGAUCAAGAAGGCUCUGCUGUCCCCACCGCUGCCCUUGACCUCCAGAAAGCUGACUAGCAGACCACUGGAAGCUCCUACAAGUAAAAACAUCAUGAACUGCAUGAUCUGAAUAGCAGAAGGCUGAUGUUAAUGUUAGACCUAGUCUCCUAGAAGCCUGUCACCAAUGAAGCCAGGUGACAUAUAGGACAAGCGGCUCUGACCAGGACGGCAGAUUGACCUGCAGCAUCUCCUCUGAGACUGGCAAGCCAGGUAAAAACCAUUUACCAGCCAAUUUGUCACAUCAGUAAGCCAAGCUCCUGAACCUGGAAUUCUCAAAAAGCAUUCUAUGUUCUGUAGGACACCAGGGAAGGAGGAAUUUUCUUUGGCU